rnacentral:sRNA from 1 species
AAUGUUAUAAACAGAGAAAGAGAUAGAAGAAAUGAGUGUGUUAUUCCAUUGAGAUAAAAGGUUCUUUAUAUAGGAGUACAAGGAAAGGGUAAAACCCUAGAAACAUCUAGAUGAUGGACUUAGAUGAUGGGCCUUAUAAUGGGCAUCCAUCUUUAUUCAUAACACUCCCCCUAAUGACCAUUAUAGUAUCAUAACUCGUAAAGUAUUUGAAAUGCUGCCUCAUUAAAAACCUUACCAGGAAAACCCAAUGGGAAAAACCAUGGUUAAGGGAAAAAGAGUGCAACAUACAAUUACUCCCCCUUAUGAGUAUAUUCGUCGAGAUCUUUGAGACGGCGUAAUCCGAUACGAUAGACUAACUUCUUGAAAGUAGCAGUAGGUAGCGCCUUGGUGAAUAAGUCAGCCAGAUUAUCAUUCGAACGGAUCUGUAGAACUCGUACAUCGCCGCUCUUUUGUAGAUCGUGUGUGUAGAAGAAUUUUGGUAGGAUGUGCUUUGUUCUAUCGCCUUUGAUGUAUCCGUCUUUGAGUUGUGCGAUGCAUGCUGCAUUGUCUUCGUACAUAAUUGUUGGAGUCUUUUUCCCUGCAUAUAUACCACAGUCUUCUUGUAUAUGGUAAACUAUGGAUCUUAGCCAUACACACUUGCGGCUAGCUUCAUGAAUUGGUAAAAUCUCUGCAUGAUUAGAAGAUGUGGCAGAGAAUAAACAGUAUUUGAGAAUAAGUUUGCCAAAUUUUCUCUUGAACAAAUUUCUGGAUAAAGUACAACGCCAUUCUUCUGCUCAUGAAUCUUUUAGAUGAUUCAUCUUGACCAUCUUAUUUAUUUCUCUAAAUAUCAUUAGUGUAUAAUAUUCAUUUGGAUGAUUGAUAGAAUUUCUUAAUAUUCAUCAAGUGUAUUAUUUGCGUGUUCUUUAAUGUCUCGUUAAAAACCUUGUCAUAGAAAAAUCAUGUGGGAUAAAAACUAUGAUAAGGAAAAAGGGUACAUCCACGCAUAUCAUUCAAUCUCCCCCUCGGAAACAUCUUCUUCAGGAGAUGAUUUUCAAUCAAAUACAAUAUCUCGUUGGAAUUAAUAACCAUAAUCUUAAUGAUCAAAAUUAUAUGGUUUUCAUAUAGACUUAUAAAUAUCAUUAUCUAGUGAUAUUUUAUCAUACAUUAUUGCAUCGUAUUACUUAUGAUAACUCUGUAGGAGUUUUAAUGAUUUUCAAAACAAAUAUUAGUUUGAUCAAUAUAUUUUGACAAACUCAACAUAAAUAUACAUUUAUAUGAUUAUAUGCCAUGUUACAUAUUUCUUUUUAUUCGAUCGAGUAGAGUUUUAGAGAACAUAAUUCUCAUAUAAUUAAUCCUUCAGAGAUUAUAUCUUUCAAGAAUUUCAUAUAAAUGUCAUAUCCAGUGUUCCGUCUCUUAUUGCCAGACUUUAGAUACUUAAAAAAAAUAUUACAUCCACCACAAGAGAAUAUAUCUCUUCAUAAUACAUUUCUUAUCUUUGUGAAAAUCUCAUUAAUUUCACUAUUCUUUCACAUAAAGACUCAUUUAUUUUCCACUGGUUUUACACAUCAUGUGCAUAGACUACUAGUCCAAUUAUCUCUACUAGAGAUUAUAAUUAUAUGUCUAUUUCUUCUUUUCCAUUUUUGGCUAAUCAUUACUUUGUGUACACUUUUCAAUAGACUUUCUUUCAUGAUCCUCCUUUUUGUCCAUAAUAUCAACUGCUCAUAGCAUGCAAAUAUAUUACGACGUCGAUUUGCUUUUGAUUCCAUUAUAUUUUGACAUGACAUAGCUAGCUAGAUCUCUUCAUUGUCAAGUACUUGAAUGUUUCAUUUGUCAUGUUUAUGUCUCUUUUAGAGAUCAUUCACUCUCUUCAAGAGAUCAUCAAAAUAUUUAUUUCCUCAAUUUGGUCAUUUUUAAUUUUGUGCUCCUUCACUUUUACGAGGAUAUUUAUAUUUGGAACCAAGGUCUAUUACACUUCAUGCGAUCUUAAGACUCAAUAGCAGUUUGAAAUUGGUCCUUACAGGACAUUCAUUAUAUUCUGGAGCAUUUAAUUUACAACUAGUAUAAGUGACUUCAUCACUUUAUUUGGGUCAGCAAAUGCGUCUGGCAAUUACAACGCUAAAUUCUGUAAUUGAAUUAUCUUUUGGACUCUUAAUAUACAUUCUUUACUCCGAGGAUCAUUGAUAAUUCAUUUCUAUUUAUCUUUUUCACCAGCUGUAUACAUUCUCCCCCUUAUGUUGGAAUAGCUGACUAUAUAAUAUGAUAGUCUUCAAAACGAGCGGUAUAUAAAUCCUUCUAGGAUGGCUUAGUUAUCAUUCAUAUCCAACAUGUAUUCUUAUCCUCCUUUGAGGAUUCAUCUCUGCGUGCUGUGGUGGAGCACUUUUCACAUUCAAAGCUUUUAGAUGAAAACUAUUUGGUUUCUGACGCAAAACCAAUAAUAAUGGGGAAAACUAUUAAUUAUUCAUUGGCUUGAUGCGUAUCGAUGUUACUAAACCAUUUUGUGUAUGAACAUGAAUUUCAAAAUGUUAAACACUUUCCCAACGGAUAUCCAAUAAUGGUUAUUAUAAAUAAACACUGAAAUACUCUUGUACUUUAAUCAAGAAAGUAAUCUCGCAAACUCUAUGUUGCGGGUUUAUAACAAAGAUAAAUAUGACCUUCUUGUCGAUGCAACAAUCGAUUCAAUGCGUCCAUUGAAUCGACGCAUCUUUUACAACCAUUAGGUAUCUAAAUGUCAUAUAGUGGGUGAUCAACCCAUAAUUAUCUCCUUGUAUAUACUUACGAAUAGAUAAAGUCCAAAUUACUUACACUGGUAAAAAUCACAUUAUCAUAUUGCUUUCUGAGCAAGUAACAUUUGAUAAAUCAUUAGGGAGAAUCUUCUGGUUUUUCACCUAAUGUCCACAUAAUUCUCAAUACUUUCACAUCAUCAUUAAACCAGGAUGACCAAUCCGGUUAAGCCAAAUAUACUCUUGAAACUUUUAAUUCUUUUGAAACUUGUAGUUCUUUCAAAACUUCUAAUUUACUUUUCAUUGCUUAUCAGUUACUCCCUUAAUGAGAUCUUAUAAUCAAAAUUACUUCCAUGUAUUUUAAUAAUCAAUCAUAUGUUAAUAAAACAAUAACGAGAUAAUAAUUAAAAUUUUAUAUUCUAAUAUAAACGAUAUUAAAUUUGACUAACUAUGUAAGAUCUUAUAUUCACUUCAGAAUAUGAGUAUUACUUAUCAUAGAUAACUCAUAUGUUUUCUUAGCCUUUGAAAAACACUCGAUUUAAGUUUAUAAUAGUUCUCAAAAUUUCUUUCAAAAUAUUGUGUCUACAAGACAACAAUACUUGCGUAAAAGUUUAAGUGUCUGUUUUACCAUCUCCGCAUCAGAGAUAUUCUCUUAACAAUGUGAGUUAUAUUCACAAAAAGACUUCAAGUCUUGAAGUUUUAGUAAUAACUAAUUAUAACUUAUUUUAUCUAAUAACACAUUCGUAUAAGAAUUGCUUUAUACAACUUUUAGAUUUUUAGUAGUCAAAGAUUGAACAUAAUCUUCUGGAUAUGUCACUUAUUAUCCAUGUGAGAUUCAUUACUUCUCCUCCUCGAAAUGAUGAAACUUCAAGUUCAUCCAUCUCGUAUUGAAUUCCACUCUAGAAUCAUAAUGUAUUUAUAUCUCAUCAUAUUAACUUUGAGAUUUGGAGAACUAUACCGCAUCGAUGAUUUUAAUUUUGUAUUCCCAUAGAAAAUAA